rnacentral:rRNA from 1 species
GAAUCAAAUUACUGAUCGUGCUAUGGUACAUACUGGUUUUAUUGAUUCUUCCCUUCUGACGAACGCCAUUAAUUUGGUGUCAUGGGGAAUCUGGACUGUUUACUUUGAAAAAAUUAGAGUGUUUAAAGCAGGCUCACGCUUGAAUACAUUAGCAUGGAAUAAUGAAAUAGGACGUUUGAUUCUAUUUUGUUGGUUUCUAGGAUCGACGUA